rnacentral:rRNA from 1 species
AGUGAACGCUGGCGGUAGGCCUAACACAUGCAAGUCGAACGGCAGCACAGUAAGAGCUUGCUCUUACGGGUGGCGAGUGGCGGACGGGUGAGGAAUACAUCGGAAUCUACUUUUUCGUGGGGGAUAACGUAGGGAAACUUACGCUAAUACCGCAUACGACCUACGGGUGAAAGCAGGGGAUCUUCGGACCUUGCGCGAUUGAAUGAGCCGAUGUCGGAUUAGCUAGUUGGCGGGGUAAAGGCCCACCAAGGCGACGAUCCGUAGCUGGUCUGAGAGGAUGAUCAGCCACACUGGAACUGAGACACGGUACAGACUCCUACGGGAGGCAGAAGUGGGGAAUAUUGGAAAAUGGGCGCAAGCCUGAUCCAGCCAUACCGCGUGGGUGAAGAAGGCCUUCGGGUUGUAAAGCCCUUUUGUUGGGAAAGAAAAGCAGCAGGUUAAUACCCCGCUGUUCUGACGGUACCCAAAGAAUAAGCACCGGCUAACUUCGU